ensembl:rRNA 5S_rRNA 5S ribosomal RNA
GCCUGUAGCCAUCCCACCUUGGGCUGUAAGCUUAUUAGAUCUCACAAGCUAAGCAGGGCAGGGCUGAGACAAUACUUAGUUGUAGAUCUUCAAGGAAUACAUGUAGGUGCUGCAGAAA